UUUUUUUUUUUUUACCCCUGGUUUCUCGAGAUCACGAGAAAAUUAUCUUGUGAUCUCCAGAAAACGGGGGUAAAAAAAACAAAC